AACUAAUUGAGAUGUUGGUGUGGUUCAAUUAGAUAACAAUCUCCACAUAAGAUUAUAGAGUUUGUUAUUUGAUUGAGCCGUGCCAAUAUCACAUGUAAGGAA
rfam:Solanum tuberosum cultivar DM 1-3 516 R44 scf00550_9, whole genome shotgun sequence.